AUGGCUUACUAUUCAGAUCAUCAUGCUUAUGCGAGCAACACUACAAACAGAACGGAAAGCAUUCAAGACCUGAUAACUGAAUGUCAGCUUCGCUACUCUCACCCUCCAGAUUGUUUUGGCAUGAGCUUCGCUCAAGAGCAUAGCUCAUACCAAAACAAUUACUCACAUGGGUGGCCUGAAAACCCGAAUAUGUCAUAUAGGAGCAACAACCCUGAGAUCACACCGUUUGCUUCUAGUAAUCAUAUGCAGGGAAUUAGGUACAAUGAGGAGAGACAUAACCAUGCACCACAACAGUUUUAUUCACCUCCUACUCAUAUACCGCAGCACCAGGAGAUGUGUCCAAUGGAGUUAAAUGGUCCUCCAUUUGGUCAACCAACACCUUCAACACAAGUGCCCACACAAGAUGAUUUUGAUGAUAUAGACAAGCUCACAUUGCUUAGUCCCGAGUUCACUUGGAGUGCCGAAGAUGAUCCAAUUAGGCCGGUGAUACUAGAUGAAAUGAAGAAGCUCAAGAGUGGGAAGGAGCUAGUGGAAGAAGUAAGGAAAAUUGAGAAGAAUAUCAAUGCCGGGUGCACUAUCUCAUCCCUCCUUGAGCUGAGUGUUUCUGGGAUAUCCCUUGAGGUGUGUGAGGUUCCAACACCUUCACAUUCAGCUGAGCAACAUAGCGAGAGUCCAGAGGAACAGAUACUUCAGAUCCAAGAAGAAAUUCUCGAAGCCAAGGCACAAGAUGAUCCAGAGCUCGAAUACCCAAAUGAACAAGUUGAAGAUCCAAUGUCUAUCUCUCCCGAAGAAGUAAAAGAAGCUGCUGUAGAUGAACUUGAAGAACCAGAAAUUCAUUUGCCCAUUGUUACACAAGAGCGUGAUGUAGCAGGUUCUUCCUUGUGCACGAAUCACUACAUGUUGACCAGGUUCGAGGUGACAUUCCUUGGGACCCCGGUGGAUCCUGAGCACGGAGACGAGGAAAAGCAAGGAGCACACAUAUGGAAGAGAGAAACUGGAGCGUGCUUGUGGAAGCAAAAGGAGAAGAGCUGCAGUUUAGAGAGUGUCGAGCGAGUGUUACAUCAAAGCCCGGUGAGCUGUUUCAUGACCCCAAUCUUAAUAUAUCAUCCAUUGAUACAUGCUGAAAUCAUUUGA
rnacentral:rRNA from 1 species